CCUACGGGUGGCAGCAGUGGGGAAUAUUGGACAAUGGGCGAAAGCCUGAUCCAGCCAUGCCGCGUGUGUGAAGAAGGCCUUCGGGUUGUAAAGCACUUUCAGUGGGGAAGAAAGCCUUGGGGCUAAUACCCUCGAGGAAGGACAUCACCCACAGAGGAAGCACCGGCUAACUCCGUGCCAGCAGCCGCGGUAAUACGGAGGGUGCGAGCGUUAAUCGGAAUUACUGGGCGUAAAGCGCGCGUAGGCGGUCUGAUAAGCCGGUUGUGAAAGCCCCGGGCUCAACCUGGGAACGGCAUCCGGAACUGUCAGGCUAGAGUGCAGGAGAGGAAGGUAGAAUUCCCGGUGUAGCGGUGAAAUGCGUAGAGAUCGGGAGGAAUACCAGUGGCGAAGGCGGCCUUCUGGACUGACACUGACGCUGAGGUGCGAAAGCGUGGGUAGCAAACAGGAUUAGAUACCCCAGUAGUC
rnacentral:rRNA from 1 species